UUAUGGCCAUAUCACAUUGAAAUACUGGUUCUCAUAUGAUCAUCAAAGUUAAGCAAAGUCGAGCCUGGUCAGUACAUAGAUGUGUAACCACUUGGGAAUACCAGGUACUGUAA